GGUUACCCAAAAUGGAUCUUAUAUAUUGUUUUCCAAAACCCUAGACAGAGCCUCCAUCUACGUUCUGCCUCUGAUCCGUACUCCAUUUUGAUUUGGUGGCCACGAUGAUGGCUUCUAAUGUUUGAUGUUUUUCCUGUUCUUCAUUCGCAUAUUCAUCAGGGUGAAGUUGAUGAUAUCAAACCAGAUUCUACCGGUUCACUUUAGGCUUCAUGUUCAGAUGAUUCCACUGCAAAGUUAGGAGAAGAAAGUGAUGCAAAUGAUCCGUCAAUAUGAGGAGAGAAACAAGCGGUUGUUUUACAUCCUUUUAAUACAUAAUGUGGAGGAACUACUCUUAGUUGUUUAUACUCCAACGGUAGGCGAAGCAUGCGAGAAUUUUGGUAGAAUUUUUCGGCGUUCAAGGGACUUUACAUGUCUUUAAAAGACAAAUGCUAUAUUGUAUUUGGAGUGGGCACCUGAUGACAUUCUGAGUGGAGGUCCAGUGGAUGUAAAUGAUGAAAAAGAAACUCCUAUUAUGAGUGAUCAGCAGACCAAAUGAGCAUUACUAAUGAGCAUUACUGAGCAACAAUUGGAAGGAACAAAGGAUUCUAAUAUUGAUACAACACGAGGUGAGUCCUGGUCAUUCUUUGUCAACAAUCUGAAUUUUAACACUACCGACGAGAGUUUAAAGAAACAUUUUGUUGACCAUAUAAAGGAAGGAAAACUAUGUAGUGUCAGGAUUAAAAAAAGCACAUGAAGAAUGGGAAAAACAUUACAUUGGGUUUUGGUUUCUUGGGGUUUGAUAUUGUGGAUACUGUUAUACAGGUCUACAGGGACUUACAGGUUUGAUGCAUCGUGUUGUAUUAAGAUUUAUUGGAAGUGUUGUUAGCAUGUUUUCAUUUUCAGGAACGGUUUUGGAUGGACAUGCUUUUAUAUUACAGUUAUGUCAUGUUAAGAACAAUUAUAGAAUAAAAGGGAUGGUGGGCGAGGAUUAAAGUUCAACAAAGUUAAUUAUGAGAAAUGUAGCUUUUGAAGCUACUGAGAAAGAGUGAUGCCAACUAAUUAGUCCUUUUGGUGAGGUAAAGAGUUUAAGGCUUCCAACAAGGUUGGGAAGCAUAGAGGAUUCACUUUUUUCGAGCAUAUAACCAAACAAGAGACGAAAAACAUCCUUCAAGCUCUAUCAAACACUCAUUUAUAUCGACUUCAUCUGAUCUAGGUUUUUGAAACCCAAUUUCUGCACUUAAGUUUGGAUAUUCUGAUAGCACUUCAUAAUUACACUUGAAUGAGGUAAAUUACACUUUGCAUCUACUAAGACAACUCAGUUUGUUCUUGAUCUAGGAUUUUGUGUUCUUCCGUAGGGUUUGGAAUCAAGAUCUACAUUUAAAGAAAAUGAGCUAGGGACAACGGUUUCAGCUCGGAACGAUCAGGCGUUAGGUUUACCUGUGGUUUCUUCAGUGUGGCAAGGAGACACUCAGUAGCAUCCUUGGUUUUAAUUUUGGUACCUUAGGUGCUUUUAUUCGCUUGAGUAAAUUGGUGUCAAUGAACGGGGCUUCGGUGCUUCUAUUCGUCUCAUAGACAGUUUAUAUUUGCUUAUGCUGACUUAGAGGACAAAGCAGUCACAGAGUCAGUUAGCGGGUUGGACCAAGUGGAACAUAUGUCUCAGCAGAAACCAAGCUCUGUUGACCAAACUCUGUUGAAUCUGAUAGCCAGAAAGAUGACGUAGAUAGUGCUCCAAAUUCUGGUCAGUUUUCGCCUGGGAAGUCGUACCGGGCAGCUGUUUUAAAAAACUGAUUUGCUGAUACGAAAUUUAAAGCUCGAGAAAAGACACCCAGUGAGGGGAUCCUGAGAAGCUGCGUUGAGAGAAAGAGGAGCUAGAAAACCAGAAACGGAAAGAAAAAAGCUCGGUUGCAAGCAGCAGCAGAGGCUGCCGAAAACGCAAGAAGGCGGGCAGAAGUAGAAGCUGCGUUAGAGGCAAAGCGAAAGAGAGACCUCGAGAGGGAAGCAGCUCGUCAGGCGUUAUUGAAGGUUAUAGUGUAUCUUAAAGAAACUGUUGAAGAGAAGAAUUUAUAGAGAGCUGGCUAGAAAAGUACUGUUCAGCAACUUUUAAUGACAGGUGGACAUCUAGAGGGUGACUUGUUAGCUCCUGAGGAUGUUGUUUCUUUGCCGAUUGAUGAUGCACAAUUGGAGUAGAAACUAAAGGAAAGUCCCAGAGGUUUAGUUUAUGGGCUUAAGGAUAUUAUAUAUCAAUUUUAUUUUUUAAAUGUUUAUGAAAUUAUCUUCUACUAUUUACAAUUUUUGUAUGAACUUGAAAUUUCUCUUCUUUCUAAUCAAUAUUCAGCUACAUCAUUUAACUUUCACUUGUGAUGGGUUCAGGUCAGAUUGGGUUUCGGACGAACCAUGUUAACAUCUGUGGUAGGGGUCCUCCUUUGGUGACAUAUAGGAGCAACUGCAAGGCCAUGUUAACUGCUGUGGAUGGAGCUGUCCAAUUGGUUCCGACCGAAGAAGUGUUGUCAAGAUCAUAGGAGUUUGCUUAACAUGGUUCUUGAAGAUUAUUCUAGGAGUUUGCUUAAAUGGUUCCUUAAGAUUAUUCUAAGAGUUUGCUUAAAAUGGAUUAGUUAUUAUUGAUUUGGUGUUUAUUUUACAUUAAAAUAUUUUGCUAUCUGUUGAAAUUUGUUUGAAUAAAAGUUUAUAAGUGGCAAUAUUAUGUGACCCUUUGCAUAAAA